ensembl:snoRNA
UGCAUCAAUGAUUCCUUCUAGUCUCUGAGUGAUAUAUGAUGACUACCCGUGUGGAACUCUGAGAUUCAA